CUUCCGGUUCCAGCGGGUCUUGGGCCCGGGCGUCCUCUCGCGUGGACAGGGCGGUAGAGGAGUGCGAGGCCCGGGAGACCUUGGUUAACGUUACUGGCUCUCAGAAGGGGAAUCUGAAGGAGAUGAACCCUGAAGAACCACUGAUGCCUGGAACUGUGUGUGGUACCCACGGGAUCCCUUUGUGCUCGUCACUUCCUUUGGUUCUGACUAGUCAAAUGAACAAGUGGUGCCAUCAAAACUCAAUUGACAAAAUAUGUGGAAAUCCUCCAAAUACCUUGGCCAAAAACAUUGCCAUUGGUUCUUCUAAAUCUCAAAUCCACCUUCACUGAAACUCAUAAACUCUCACCCUUUGAGAUAAUCGCUGAGUGCCUCGAGCAUCUAGCUGCUGCUUCUUUUUAUCCACAGCCAAUAAAAAGAGAUGAUACUUUAGUAUUACAGAGUGUAUGCUUCAAUAUUAUGGGCACUGAAAAUAACUGUGCUUCAGUAGAGCAAUCUUUUCAUACUGUGGAGACCAAGACCUCAAAACACCACACUUUGUAGCCAAGAGGUUUUGCUUAUUAGAAAAGACAUCUCCACAAAGACUCUUUUCAACUGCAUUGGGAAGGUUAUUAUAGUGUUACUGACCAGUUCCUGCAUUGCCAAACUCAAGGAGUUGACUCCUGGAUCUCUGUAUCUCAUCCAAAGAAGCCUACCCCUCCUCCCAUCCACCCUCCCUCAAAAAGGAAAGCCCUAAACCCUGACUAGACCUUACUCCAACUGGUGACCUCAAAUUGAAGGUUUCCACAAAUUGAAGUGGAUGAGAGAUGAAGUAAACAGCUUUCCCAAGGUGACUGGACCAGGCCUAUGCACCAUUUUCUCACCAUUGCUUCUUACCUUAUUUUCUUCCUCUCUCCUUGGAAAGA